rfam:Gossypium hirsutum cultivar TM-1 chromosome 1, whole genome shotgun sequence
AUCCCAUGAUGAAGACACUUAUGAAGUAACUCCUUGAAUCGCUCCCAAGCCUCAUACAAAGACUCAUCAUCUAAUUGUUGGAAAGCUGUGAUCUCGUUCCUCAACUU